AUAAUGGGUCAGCGACUUAUAUUCUGUAGCAAGGUUAACCGAAUAGGGGAGCCGAAGGGAAACCGAGUCUUAACUGGGCGUUAAGUUGCAGGGUAUAGACCCGAAACCCGGUGAUCUAGCCAUGGGCAGGUUGAAGGUUGGGUAACACUAACUGGAGGACCGAACCGACUAAUGUUGAAAAAUUAGCGGAUGACUUGUGGCUGGGGGUGAAAGGCCAAUCAAACCGGGAGAUAGCUGGUUCUCCCCGAAAGCUAUUUAGGUAGCGCCUCGUGAAUUCAUCUCCGGGGGUAGAGCACUGUUUCGGCAAGGGGGUCAUCCCGACUUACCAACCCGAUGCAAACUGCGAAUACCGGAGAAUGUUAUCACGGGAGACACACGGCGGGUGCUAACGUCCGUCGUGAAGAGGGAAACAACCCAGACCGCCAGCUAAGGUCCCAAAGUCAUGGUUAAGUGGGAAACGAUGUGGGAAGGCCCAGACAGCCAGGAUGUUGGCUUAGAAGCAGCCAUCAUUUAAAGAAAGCGUAAUAGCUCACUGGUCGAGUCGGCCUGCGCGGAAGAUGUAACGGGGCUAAACCAUGCACCGAAGCUGCGGCAGCGACGCUGAUGCGUUGUUGGGUAGGGGAGCGUUCUGUAAGCCUGUGAAGGUGUGCUGUGAGGCAUGCUGGAGGUAUCAGAAGUGCGAAUGCUGACAUAAGUAACGAUAAAGCGGGUGAAAAGCCCGCUCGCCGGAAGACCAAGGGUUCCUGUCCAACGUUAAUCGGGGCAGGGUGAGUCGACCCCUAAGGCGAGGCCGAAAGGCGUAGUCGAUGGGAAACAGGUUAAUAUUCCUGUACUUGGUGUUACUGCGAAGGGG
rnacentral:rRNA from 1 species